GCAGCUUUCUAGAAGGAGGCCUUUAGAUUUAAUUUCUGACCUCAUUUUACAUCCUUCGCAAGAUGGGUCUUCAUCUGUCGGAAUGGCAGCUUAGCCUUCCCUGAGUCUUCCUACUGUGACAGGACUGCUGAAAGGUCAACAUGAGAGUUAGCGGUGAAAGGAGAGUAUGUGAAGCAGCUUUUCCCUUCUUCAACCUACUUCAUAUAAAGACAGAGACUACUGGCUGCAGCUUCACAUAUGGAGUGGAUUAGAAGUGCUGGUAAACUACUUUGGAUGGGAGUUGUGUUUUAGAUACCCAAGAAAGCAAAAGGAGACACUGAAG